UACGAAGGGGGCUAGCGUUGUUCGGAAUUACUGGGCGUAAAGCGCACGUAGGCGGACUAUUAAGUCAGGGGUGAAAUCCCGGGGCUCAACCCCGGAACUGCCUUUGAUACUGGUAGUCUCGAGUCCGGAAGAGGUGAGUGGAAUUCCGAGUGUAGAGGUGAAAUUCGUAGAUAUUCGGAGGAACACCAGUGGCGAAGGCGGCUCACUGGUCCGGUACUGACACUGAGGUGCGAAAGCGUGGGGAGCAAACAGG
rnacentral:rRNA from 1 species